rnacentral:rRNA from 1 species
AGAGUUUGAUCCUGGCUCAGAAUCAACGCUGGCGGCGCGCUUAACACAUGCAAGUCGAGCGAGAAAGUGGAGCAAUCCAUGAGUACAGCGGCGUACGGGUGAGUAACACGUGGAUUAUCUACCUUCUAGCGGGGGAUAACCCUGGGAAACCGGGGCUAAUACCGCAUAAGCCUGUAAAGGGAAAGCAGCAAUGCGCUGGAAGAGGAGUCCGCGGCCGAUUAGCUAGUUGGUGAGGUAACGGCCCACCAAGGCGACGAUCGGUAGCCGGCCUGAGAGGGCACACGGCCACACUGGCACUGAAACACGGGCCAGACUCCUACGGGAGGCAGCAGUGGGGAAUCUUGCACAAUGGAGGCAACUCUGAUGCAGCGACGCCGCGUGAGCGAUGAAGCCCUUCGGGGUGUAAAGCUCUUUCGGCAGGAACGAUAAUGACGGUACCUGAAGAAGAAGCUGCGGCUAACUACGUGCCAGCAGCCGCGGUAAUACGUAGGCAGCGAGCGUUGUUCGGAAUUACUGGGCGUAAAGAGUGUGUAGGCGGUGCUCUAAGUUCGGUGUGAAAUCUCCCGGCUUAACUGGGAGGGUGCGCCGGAAACUGGAGUGCUCGAGCGUGGGAGAGGAAAGCGGAAUUCCUGGUGUAGCGGUGAAAUGCGUAGAUAUCAGGAGGAACACCUGCGGUGUAGACGGCUUUCUGGACCAUUGCUGACGCUGAGACACGAGAGCGUGGGUAGCAAACAGGAUUAGAUACCCUGGUAGUCC